rnacentral:lncRNA from 1 species
CUUUGUCCCUGGUUCUUUCCUUCUUGCUGUGCUUCCUGGCCACCGGGACGUGAGCAGCAUUUUGUGCACUAGGCCCUUCCACCAUGCCCUUCCUGACUUGGGUUCAGCUGGCUGUGGGCUACAAUCAUGAGCCAAAAUAAAUCUCUCCUUGUUGUGAGUCAGCUACUUCACUGCAAUGAUGAACUCACCGAUACACCACAGAGAGGAAAGAGGGAGCCAAUGGAGCAUUUGAAAAGGGAAAUUGAGUUGGGAAGUCAGCUGGAAGCGACUUUGGGUGAGAUAAACCGGCUUUCACGGAUGAGACCGAGGGGCAGUGGGAAAGUCGCACACAGAAAGGCCCCCCCGUCUGUGGCUCCCUGUGGCUGAGCAGCCCUUUUCAUCUCAGCUUGCACCCCACCACUACACUGGCUCACCG